CCUACGGGAGGCAGCAGUGGGGAAUAUUGGACAAUGGGCGAAAGCCUGAUCCAGCCAUGCCGCGUGUGUGAAGAAGGCCUUCGGGUUGUAAAGCACUUUCAGUGGGGAAGAAAGCCUUGGGGCUAAUACCCUCGAGGAAGGACAUCACCCACAGAAGAAGCACCGGCUAACUCCGUGCCAGCAGCCGCGGUAAUACGGAGGGUGCGAGUGUUAAUCGGAAUUACUGGGCGUAAAGCGCGCGUAGGCGGUCUGAUAAGCCGGUUGUGAAAGCCCCGGGCUCAACCUGGGAACGGCAUCCGGAACUGUCAGGCUAGAGUGCAGGAGAGGAAGGUAGAAUUCCCGGUGUAGCGGUGAAAUGCGUAGAGAUCGGGAGGAAUACCAGUGGCGAAGGCGGCCUUCUGGACUGACACUGACGCUGAGGUGCGAAAGCGUGGGUAGCAAACAGGAUUAGAUACCCGGGUAGUC
rnacentral:rRNA from 1 species